ensembl:lincRNA 4930405D11Rik RIKEN cDNA 4930405D11 gene
GAACCAGUGCUGUAGAAACUCCACACAGUUAAGCAGUGUGUCUGCUUACUGUCUGUUAUAUAACUUUAGACCCAAGGACAAUGCUUGACAGAGUCAGUAUUCAAAAAUCUGUCCAAGGUGCCUUUGUUUGGUGCUCUCUGACGAGGAGUGUUUGAGCAAUAUAUGCACAAGGUUUCUUCUAACAGCCGCCAAAACUUGAAUUGGAGAUGCUAGAGAGGAAGAUGUAGAAAAUGGGCAAAAUAUCAGCCUGAUACCAUGAGGAUGAAUGAGAGAGAGCUUACCCUUGCCUCUCCACAACUACGGCAGCUUGGUGGUUUUGGACCCAGUCUGAAAAUGUAGAAACUGAGCUGAGACUUAUUUCCGUUGAGCAUUUCUCAAAGUAUGACAUAUGCGGCAGCACUUGAGAUGAUUUUAGGGUUUGUGGACAAACUUUGUUAUCAUGCCAAUUAUAGAUAUAUCUAAUGACCAUAGAAAAUGUGAUUUGUCCCUUAAAUCUCUGCCAUCUGCCUUGUAUAUUGUUUUUUUCCAGAAUGAAGCCAAGUAAAAACAGUGAGACUGAAUAAUUGUAC